UAGGAAGCUCGAAGUGGAGUUGUGGAGAUGGGGACCGUGGUCAAGCUACUUCAAUCUGGACCACUGCGAAUCAUAGAGCAUCAGUUUUCUGCUCAUUGCUACUUUGAGAAUGAGAGACCUCUAAUUGGGACAGUGGCAGAAAGUGGAAAGGAAUAGGAUAAAUUCUUAUCUUUUACGCAUCARCAACAAAAACAUCCAAUCAAAUAUGCAAUGAGAAUGAAGAACAGAAGAUCUCAUGGGUCGAAAUUAGGCUGCAGAGGGGCAGACCCACUAUGGUGCAUACAGUGGCACUGGCCAAUGCUUCAUUCCUCCAUCAUAGUGUAAAAAAAAAUGGGUCGUGAAAGGUGCGAUUGUAUUAUUUUGUUGGGUGUAACCAUAUAUUCCUUGAAACUACAAUAAUAACACAAGAAUCUCUUGGUAGAGUUGGUUUGCACAGUCUUUUUUCCUGUUCCAGAUUCCCUUUUUCAUAAAGCUCCUAGAAAAGAAGAUCGCCCAAGAACAUGGAAUUACUGGCUAAAGCUGUAAGGACAUUAUGAGACUUUCACUCAUCCAUCAAAAUGUCAACUUUCUACCAACGAGGCUAGAGCUGCAAGAACACUCUCAUACCCUUACUCAUUCCAUAAGAAUGUCAACUUUUUACCUGCUAGGCUAAAGCUGAAGGGACACUCUUAGACCUCUUACUUAUUCUGUAAGAAUGUCAACCUUCUUAUUUUCCAGGCUAAAGAUGUUGCAGAGACACCCUCUUGUGAACGAGUCAUAUAUGUCUUCCCGAAAGGAGGGUUUGUCUGCAUCAUAUAGAUUGUAUGAAAGAUUAAGGGGACCGAUACGUCAGAGCACAAAAAAAACCAAGAGCUCCCAGCCGUCAUAUUCAAAAUUGUGGGCCGAUUUCGGUUCGAAUCAAGCAUUCACAUGUAACAUAAAGUUGGCAUAAUAAUAAAAGGAUUUGGAGAAAAAUAUUAUUCUUCAAAGUUUGGAAAAGAUUGGUUGAUAGAAAGUGUAUGUUACAAAAAUACAAGUGUUCCUAUCAAAUAUAUUCUUUCCAAUGCCCAUCACUCCAAGAU